UACGUAUGGUGCAAGCGUUAUCCGGAUUUAUUGGGUUUAAAGGGUGCGUAGGCGGGCUUUUAAGUCAGCGGUAAAAAUUCGGGGCUCAACCCCGUCCGGCCGUUGAAACUGGGGGUCUUGAGUGGGCGAGAAGAAGGCGGAAUGCGUGGUGUAGCGGUGAAAUGCAUAGAUAUCACGCAGAACCCCGAUUGCGAAGGCAGCCUUCCGGCGCCCUACUGACGCUGAGGCACGAAAGUGCGGGGAUCGAACAGG
rnacentral:rRNA from 1 species